rnacentral:rRNA from 1 species
CCUACGGGUGGCUGCAGUAGGGAAUAUUGGGCAAUGGACGCAAGUCUGACCCAGCCAUGCCGCGUGCAGGAUGACGGUCCUCUGGAUUGUAAACUGCUUUUUUAUGGGAAGAAACCUUCGGAUGCGUCCGAAGCUGACGGUACCAUAAGAAUAAGGAUCGGCUAACUUCGUGCCAGCAGCCGCGGUAAGACGAAGGAUUCAAGCGUUGUCCGGAUUUACUGGGUUUAAAGGGUGCGUAGGCGGAAAAUUAAGUCAGUGGUGAAAUCCCGCAGCUC